UACGAAGGGUGCAAGCGUUAAUCGGAAUUACUGGGCGUAAAGCGCGCGUAGGUGGUUCAGUAAGUUGGAAGUGAAAUCCCCGGGCUCAACCUGGGAACUGCUUUCAAAACUGCUGAGCUAGAGUAAGGUAGAGGGUGGUGGAAUUUCCUGUGUAGCGGUGAAAUGCGUAGAUAUAGGAAGGAACACCAGUGGCGAAGGCGACCACCUGGACUGAUACUGACACUGAGGUGCGAAAGCGUGGGGAGCAAACAGG
rnacentral:rRNA from 1 species